UCAGCUUUUUGAGGAUACUAUUUAGUCAUUUCCUCGGAAGACAAAGGGUGCCCAUCAGAGCUAAUGCUACUUCACUUGCACUUGUGUUGCCGUGUGGGUGGUGGCUGUAACACGCAUUUGGAAAAUGCACAGGGCUGAUUCAAAAUGACAGCAAUGGUGUUAGUGCAGGCAUGUGCUACUCAGCAGUUCGCAGAGUCCCUGAAACCUUUGUGAAACAAGGAGGAAUCCUCUUCUGACAUACUUCUCUCAGCUGUCUAAAUAAGGGAGAAAAUGUGCCUCAGGAGAAAUGAGAAGUCUGUUGGUUUUCAUUAACUUUUAAUUUGAAGCCUGCAUAACUGAAUGAAACCACUGUAGUAAUCUGGAAAAGGUAUCCAAAAGGCCUGUUGAGUCAGAGCUAAUUCCUCCCCUCUCUCUAAAAAGUGCAUAGAAACAAGGUGCUUUAUUCAAGACGCACAGUAUCCUCACCAGGGCCGGCAAAAGGUCUGCUCAGACUCGAGCAGCCGGAGCAGCUCUACAAAGUCAUCUCAGGCUGCUGCAACAUUCCCGGGGCUGUCGUAAAGGUCAGCGUGCUGUGUCCUUCAGCUGUGUGGAGUUUUGAUUAGCGAAUCUGCAUCAUCGACAACUCUGAACUGCUUCCAGACAGCGAUAUAUUAGGGCUCCCAUGUGCACAAGGAGUGCUCUCCCCGUGCCCAGCUUGUGCUCGGAGGUGUGGGACUUGCCGCACAGCAAGCAUUUGGCCUGUAACGCUUACUGCAGCAAGGCUCGCGCCCAAUUAUUCCAGCCAUGUCAGGGAAGAAAUGUUUGAAAAUGUUGUUUUGCUGCCAAGUCUUCCUGAAAGAAAAAAAAAAAAAAAUAAAAAAAAAGAAGGGUCAUUUCAAAUACUGAAGGAUGACCUAUGAGAAUGGACAAACCUGUGCGUCUCAAGUGCCUCCCUGCAUGCCUGACACCAGUAAUGCCAACACUCUUGUGAGCAGGAAUUUUAUAUAUAAAGCAAGGAGAACCUGAUUAAAGGAGAGGGGACCACAGUGUGACUGGUUAUUUCCCCACACUUUACUGUUUUCCAGGGUCAUUCCUCAAGGCCAUGUUUACAGUGCUCACAGUGCCAUAACCUCAUAUUUUCAGGAUCUUAGCAUAUCUGCAAGAGCUGUAAUUCUGCCAGGUGCCUUGCCACCUCCAACUUGUGUUUUGUGAUCAUGUCCAGGCCUGUUUGGCCUUGCUACCAAACCCAAGCCAUCAGGUGUAGUGUGACGUUGGGAAGCCACAUGUCCCUGAUCUCAUUUCGGCUUUGCCAUUACACCAUAGAAGCGGUUCAGAGAUGAGUCCUGCCGGGAAUCUGCCCAGCCCUGUGAACUAGAAAUUCCUGCUUUCUUGUGUCCAAGCUCCACUAACCAAUCGUGUGUGGCUCAGGUUUAGUUUAAGGGUUUGUCAAGUACAGCUGUGGUGCAGUUGCUUCCAUAUGGUGCAUUGGUACAGUGGAUGUUGAAGAAAAUACAAGAUCUGGAGCAUUUUUCCUCUUUUUUUGUUCACCAACAAAGACUAUGGCCACUUUCUGCACCAGAAAGAAGAGAAAAGCGCUGUUUGAAGCAGAGCUGAAUGACAGGCUUGCACCACGUGCCAAGGAGCAGCCGGCGAGCGAAGCACCUCCCUGGCAGCCAGGACAUCAGAGGAGCUGGACGCAGAGAUGAAAUGUCACUAUAUUGAUCAUUACUGCUGUUUUGUUGUGUUUUCUGUUAAUACCACACUGCUGCCUUACUCAAGUUCACGUAAGGGGAACACUGGGGACUGUGACAACACAGCAAGCUGAGGCUGCUGACGCCAACAAAGGUGGGAGGGAAAUACAGGCAUUUAAGUGAGAGAAGAAUUUGUCCCAGUUUCACCUUUUGAUUUUGUGCAAUGAAGAAAAACUAAAAAACUGUUGCUGACGGUGCCAGCUUUUAACCCUAACUGCACAGUUACAGGACAUUGUAUUAGAAUUUAUGUUAUUACUUAAUUUCAGAUUUCACCUCUUUUUUUUUUCCUUUCCCUGUCAUCUUGAGAUGUAUCUAUCUCCCUUAAUGCCUGGCCACGCUGGAAAGAUGUGUCCCUGUAGUCAACAAGAACUGGGAAUACGGAGAUAACGUCAAAUGAUUUCUGCAAAUACGAACUUCUCAGAAAGUUUAAUUUUUGUAAAAGUUCAUGUCUUUGAAAUGUUUGUAGGCCAAUGAUUUAGACAAUUUAUUCUGACUUUCUGAGCACACUAUUUUUCUAUACCCUCGGUUAAACAGUGUGAAUGAAGGUUGCCAUAGUUACAGCUGAGUUCAGAAAUGAGCUCUAUUGUAUUGUAAUUCUAGUUUCUUAUCUCACUCCUCCUGAUGUGAAAGACAUGUUUCCAUCUCUGUAAUUAGCCACGAUGUGAAAGAUCUUGGUCAUUCAUUUAAAAAUGCUUGAGCAAAUGUGGGAGGGGGGACAUUUCUCGUUCUCUUGUUUUCACCAAAACCACUGAGCAACAUGAUACUUUCUGCACCCAGUCUGCCUACCUUCUGUGCAGAACUUGGAUUAGUCCUUGAAAUUUAAUUUGGCAUUUUAAUUUGCUGCAAAAAUAUACACCAUAAAGUAAACAGAUAAGCCUAUGACUUUGUUUUAUAAAGAAUGUAUUAAACAUGUAAGCACCUGUA